rfam:Hordeum vulgare subsp. vulgare, WGS project CAJW01000000 data, contig: morex_contig_41469
CUAGUCCUCCCUCCGUCCGAAAAUACUUGUCCUAGAAAUGGAUAUAAUGGAUGUAUCUAUAACUAAAAUAAGUCUAGAUACAUUCAUCUUUAGGACAAGUUUUUCCGGACGGAGGGAGUGACAAU